ACUCCUACGGGAGGCAGCAGUGGGGAAUAUUGCACAAUGGGCGCAAGCCUGAUGCAGCCAUGCCGCGUGUGUGAAGAAGGCCUUCGGGUUGUAAAGCACUUUCAGUCGUGAGGAAGGUAGUGUAGUUAAUAGCUGCAUUAUUUGACGUUAGCGACAGAAGAAGCACCGGCUAACUCCGUGCCAGCAGCCGCGGUAAUACGGAGGGUGCGAGCGUUAAUCGGAAUUACUGGGCGUAAAGCGCAUGCAGGUGGUUUGUUAAGUCAGAUGUGAAAGCCCGGGGCUCAACCUCGGAAUAGCAUUUGAAACUGGCAGACUAGAGUACUGUAGAGGGGGUAGAAUUUCAGGUGUAGCGGUGAAAUGCGUAGAGAUCUGAAGGAAUACCGGUGGCGAAGGCGGCCCCCUGGACAGAUACUGACACUCAGAUGCGAAAGCGUGGGGAGCAAACAGGAUUAGAUACCCUGGUAGGAUAGCC
rnacentral:rRNA from 1 species